rnacentral:tRNA from 1 species
GGAGGAAUACCCAAGUCUGGCUGAAGGGACUGGUCUUGAAAACCAGGAGGUCGUGAAAGCGGCGCAGGGGUUCGAAUCCCUUUUCCUCCGCCA